GACGAACGCUGGCGGCGUGCUUAACACAUGCAAGUCGAACGGAAAGGCCCUGCCUUUGUGGGGUGCUCGAGUGGCGAACGGGUGAGUAACACGUGAGUAAUCUGCCCUUGACUUUGGGAUAACUUCAGGAAACUGGGGCUAAUACCGGAUAGGAGCUCCUGCUGCAUGGUGGGGGUUGGAAAGUUUCGGCGGUUGGGGAUGGACUCGCGGCUUAUCAGCUUGUUGGUGGGGUAGUGGCUUACCAAGGCUUUGACGGGUAGCCGGCCUGAGAGGGUGACCGGCCACAUUGGGACUGAGAUACGGCCCAGACUCCUACGGGAGGCAGCAGUGGGGAAUAUUGCACAAUGGGCGGAAGCCUGAUGCAGCAACGCCGCGUGCGGGAUGACGGCCUUCGGGUUGUAAACCGCUUUCGCCUGUGACGAAGCGUGAGUGACGGUAAUGGGUAAAGAAGCACCGGCUAACUACGUG
rnacentral:rRNA from 1 species